rnacentral:misc_RNA from 1 species
AAGUCGUAACAAGGUUUCCGUAGGUGAACCUGCGGAAGGAUCAUUCUUGAUAAUGUAGUUUAUUCUAUCAUUAUAUAUGUGCACUGUUAACGCCAGUUGGCGGCCGCAAAGUCGUCAAUUGGCCUCAAUUUUAUUAUUUACUAAUAACUUUUUAUUCCAGUAACCAUUAAAAUCUUAUGACAACUUUUAGCAAUGGAUCUCUAGGCUCUC